UACGUAGGGGGCAAGCGUUGUCCGGAAUCAUUGGGCGUAAAGCGCGUGUAGGCGGCCCGGUAAGUCCGCUGUGAAAGUCGGGGGCUCAACCCUCGGAUGCCGGUGGAUACUGUCGGGCUAGAGUGCGGGAGAGGCGAGUGGAAUUCCUGGUGUAGCGGUGAAAUGCGCAGAUAUCAGGAAGAACACCGAUGGCGAAGGCAGCUCUCUGGGACGGUACUGACGCUGAGACGCGAAAGCGUGGGGAGCGAACAGG
rnacentral:rRNA from 1 species